GUUGACUUGUUCGAAAGCGAAUCAUACAUGUUGCGGUCUUCUCUCGUAAUUUCUGUUGCCAUCCUACACAAAGCGGCGAAGAAGCAAUGCCUUUUUCACCAUUUUGUCUAUGAAGAACUGUCAAAAGUAAAUGGUCAAGCUUACAACGACGUUCUCUUCAUUUGGCUUGGUGUUGAGUUGGCGUUUUGACACGUCUCACGAGAACACUAUCCGUCCAUUUUCUACCGCUUAUUCCCUUUGGGGUCGCUGGUGCCUAUCUCAGCUACAAUCGGGCGGAAGGCGGAGUACACCCUGGACAAGUCGCCACCUCAUUGCAGGGCAAAUUUAGUGUUGCCAAUCAACCUAUCCCUAGGUGCAUGUCUUUGGAAGUGGAAAACUUACAAACAAUGAGAAACCUUGGAGGGGACCGCUGAUUGGAGAGCUAGCUUCCGCCGCUAGUGGGUCCAUGGCGAUGACUUCCUUUUUUUGUUUGAUCAGCUGUUUAGGCACCGUUUGGAAACAAUUAAAGUAUGUAAACAAACAUUAAUAAAAUAUUUUGUGCUGCGGGUUAUAGUCCAAAGCAGCUAAUAUAUGGAAAUAUUUUUAUCUUGGGUGCUCUAUAGACUGGAAAAUAUGGAAAUCUGAUUUUAAAAAAUAAUCACUUGACAGCACUAACAUAAUCGACAAGAAAAUUUGUCACCGGGAGUUAUAUUUACCAUUAAUUAAACACGUUGAAAACCUUAUUCGGGUGUUACCAUUUAGUGGUCAAUUGCACGGAAUAUGUACUGUACUGUGCAAUCUACUAAUAAAAGUUUCAAUCAAUCAGUCAAUCAAUCAAAGUCGAUAACGGCCGUGACGUCCUCACUCGUGUUUUUUUUGCGGGCGGAAGUGGGUCACGUGCAAAAACAAUGUCAGUGAUAACAUGUCAAGUUUGACAACAUUUCCUCGUAUUCUUGUUAAAAACAUGAAUACCUCGCUCGUUUUGCAAAGCGGACCUUUUAAAGCGGAGGCAUGAUGUCAGGAGGGAGGAUGAAUGCAGUCUCAGUCUCGGUAAGAGUGUUAGCGUCUACCUGGCAAGCUCGCCCGACAAAAGUGAGGCAAUGUGCGAAAAAAAAUUAUUUUAGCUAAAGAGUCAGUCAGCUAAACUUUGUUUACAUCAAUUUCAAGUACCAUUUUAAGCCAAUUUGCAAUGCAAUUAAAAACGGCACACUAACAAACCCGAACAGUACACGCACACACACACACACACACACACACACACACACACACACACACACACACACACACACACACACACACACACACACACACACACACACACACACACACACACACACACACGCACACUAA